rnacentral:rRNA from 1 species
GCGCGGAAAAUUACCGGGGCUAAACUAUACACCGAAAUUUCGGAUUUACGUAUGAAAAUAUGUAAGUGGUAGAGGAGCAUUCUGUAGUAGGACGAAGUCAAAGCGAAAGCAUUGGUGGACGAGGCAGAAGAGAGAAUGCUGGAAUAAGUAGCGAGAGCAAGGUGAGAAUCCUUGCCGUCGAAAGUCUAAGGUUUCCUGGGGAAGGUUCGUCCGCCCAGGGUAAGUCGGGGCCUAAGGAGAGGCCGAAAGGCGUAUCUGAUGGAUAGCAGGUGGAGAUUCCUGCACUAUAGCUAGUUUUAAAAGAUGCAAGGGACGCAGUAGAGGAAGAUAACCAAGGAAGAGGAAAGACUUGGUCCGCAAGGGAUAGUGAAAAUUAAUAGUAACGAAAUAUCAAGAAUCACACUGACGAGAAAAGCUUGUAGAUAUUAACUAGAAAUACCCGUACCGCAAACCGACACAGGUAGAUGAGGAGAGGAUCCUAAGACGAGCGGGAGAAGCAUUGUUAAGGAACUCGGCAAAAUAACCCCGUAACUUCGGGAGAAGGGGAACCUAAGUAAAAUUAGGUCGCAGAGAAAAGGCCCAAGCAACUGUUUAACAAAAACACAGGUUUCUGCAAAAUCGAAAGAUGAAGUAUAGGAGCUGACGCCUGCCCAGUGCUGGAAGGUUAAGGGAAAGAGUUAGAUGUAAGUCGAAGCUUAGAACUAAAGCCCCAGUGAACGGCGGCCGUAACUAUAACGGUCCUAAGGUAGCGAAAUUCCUUGUCAGGUAAGUUCUGACCCGCACGAAAGGCGUAAUGAUUUGGGCACUGUCUCGACAAUGUACCCGGCGAAAUUGUAGUACUAGUGAAGAUGCUAGUUACCUGCGACAAGACAGAAAGACCCCAUGGAGCUUUACUGCAGUUUGAUACUGGGUUUCGAUAAGUUAUGUACAGGAUAGGUGGGAGACAAAGAAAGAAAGGCGUCAGCUUUUCCGGAGUCACCGUUGGGAUACCACCCUUAAUUUGUUGGAAUUCUAACUAGUGGUCAUGAUCUGGCCAGAGGACAAUGUCAGACGGGCAGUUUGACUGGGGCGGUCGCCUCCAAAAGAGUAACGGAGGCGCCCAAAGGUUCCCUCAGUGCGGACAGAAAUCGCACGAAAGAGUGUAAAGGCAGAAGGGAGCUUAACUGGAAGAUAGACAUAUCGAGCAGAUACGAAAGUAGGGCUUAGUGAUCCGGUGGAUAUUGAAUGGAAAAGCCAUCGCUCAACGGACAAAAGUUACCCUGGGGAUAACAGGCUUAUCUCCCCCAAGAGUUCACAUCGACGGGGAGGUUUGGCACCUCGAUGUCGGCUCAUCGCAUCCUGGAGCGGAAGUACGUUCCAAGGGUUGGGCUGUUCGCCCAUUAAAGCGGUACGCGAGCUGGGUUCAGAACGUCGUGAGACAGUUCGGUCCUUAUCUGUCGCAGGCGGAAGAUAUUUGAGAGGAGCUGUCCUUAGUACGAGAGGACCAGGAUGGACAUACCGAUGGUGUAUCAGUUGUCACACCAGUGGCACGGCUGAGUAGCCAAGUAUGGACGGGAUAAACGCUGAAAGCAUCUAAGUGUGAAGCCCACCUCAAGAUAAGAUAUCUCAUAUCGU